UUGAAAGCCAGCAAUCUGGAAACCUGCAGAUAUGUCCUUCAACUGAAUGUUGACCCAUGUUUUAUGUAUUUAAAAAUAAUACCAGUCUCGGGUAUUGAAAAGUGUUUGUUUUGAUGGAAGACAGGGAAUACAACAGGAAGAGGCUAGUAGUAUUAAUUUUCAGUAUAGGUAAUAAACUAAUUAUCCUAAUUAUUAGCAAAAAUCGAAGCAAUUUAUUUCAUUUCCAUUUGACGACUUCAAAAUGAAAAAAAAAUAACGAAUAUAUAUAUAUAUAUCUCAUUCUGGAGACAUUCCAACAAUCUUAUUUCAGUUUGAUAAAUAAGGAUGGAAAAGGAGAUAAAGUGUAUGUUAGUUCCUAAAAGAAUCAGUGUGAAUGUCAACAUUAUAAUUGAAUCACUUAUUGACAAAUUUCAUUGUUUACCACUGCAGUGUGAACACAAGCUAAAGUGGAAAUUCCCACCUGAGGUGUCAGCAUCAUCAUCAUCAUCAUGGAAAACUAUCUGGAGUAUAAUUCUUGCUAAAGUGAACAGCAUAUAAGCAAGAAGCUCUCAGGGUCAGAAACAGAAGCACACUAGAAGCUCCUGGAGGAGGAGACAGAUUGUGUUGGCUGGAGGCUGAAGCUGAGAGAGGCCAAGGACUAGCGUCAGGAGCUCUCAGAACCAAGAAGAGAGAUAGGCCUCUAAGAAAGCUAACCAGGCUCAAGGAAGGAGACAAAACCUUGACGGAGACAAUAAAAGAUUUGGACUUUAAUACCUGGCUGCAUUCAGGGUGAUUACACUGAACUGAACAAAGUCUGCUCCCAGAAGCCCCCUAAGAAAUCUGCUCCCAGAGAAGAUUAAAUUUUAGAGGAGAAUAUUACAUUUAACAAACCAAAAAACGUGCUUCCAUCCACUUUCAGUUUCCAUAGUUCUCUCUCUGGAUGCUCAUGGUAUUUUCCAUCCCAAGUGUACUGGCAUUGCCUUGAAUUGUAUUGUUGAGAAGAGCCACGUCCAUCACAGUUGAUCAUCACAUAAUCUUGCUGUUACUGGGUACAGUGUUCUCCUGGUUCUGAUCACUUCACUCAAAAUUAGUUCAUGUAAGUUUUUUCAGAAAGCAUUUGAUCUUAAAGCAGCUUUAUUAUAAGACCCUUCUCUUUGCCAGCACACAAGCCUAUUUCUUCUAGGAGCUUGUCCUGUAGAUCUCAAACUACUCUCCCUGUGGUUCUUUCAUAACAUUCUAUCUCCUUUCUCUGUGCUUUUGUACAGCUUGUAUACAUGACUUUAAUAUACUCUUCUGCCCCCCUGUCACUAGUAUAUCUUCCCAGAGCUCUUCCUGUUUGUAGGGAACAGAAAGAUUCUUCUAUCUUGCUGGUCUCCUUACCUGGUCUCUUUCUGACUCCAAGGGACAGAGAAAAAUGCUAUUUGAUCUUGUAAUGCCAAAAUUCACUUUUAAUGGGGUGACCAGCUCCUCCAAUUGUCCUAUUUCGUAUUCUGCCUUAAGGUUAUGACCAUCCCCACUUAAUGGUUGAGAUAAAGGUAUUAUAGACAUUCCUUAAUGUCAUUAGAAUAUCAGUAACCUCCUUCUAUUAGGUUAUCCCCCCCUAGGUCCCUCCAUUGUUGUUAUUCCAUAAAAGGCUCCCUACCCAGAGACUCGGGGCUAGACUCUUUGAAAUGAUAGUCCAGUCUAGCCCUGGGAUCAACAUGGAUGCAUUGGUCCCAGUAUUUCUCUCCAUUUAAUAAACUAUUGAACUGGUCUCUAAUCUCUGUCUUGCUCAGUUUCUUUGGCAUUACAUUUGGAGGCCCCAGUGAGAUAAUUAGAAAAUGAGCAGGAUUAGAGAUGAGACUCUCGGGUCUCUUCCGUGGGCAGGGUGGCUGCGAAUCUGAAUUCUUGGCCUGGAGAGGUCGGGCCCCACUGGAUUUUUUCCAGAGCCUCCAGGAAAGAGAGCAAUUUCCAGCCACAAUAGCCUGAUGGUAGACAACCCCAUUUCGGCCACAGGAGAGUAAGUUUGUCUGGGUACCUUUUGGGGUACCAUCUGGUUAUGUCUUAAGACUUGUUUUGUUUGUUUGGUUUGAUUGAUUGGUGAAUAACCGGACAAGGUUGUCACUUGGGGUGCCCUUUUUAGGGGUGCCAUUUGCUUGGUUAAUGAGUGGCCUACUGGACGCAGGGGUCGCUACUGAAGUGUGAUCUAGGCACUCUGCCGCCUCAAGACUUUUUCUGGAGCAGAUGCUUUGCUUGAGGAAACUCUGUCCAACUCUUUUCCAGAGACAAAGGCCGGUCCUUUGCAUUUCUAAGAGAGGUCCUCCCACUUCUUCCAUCAAGUGGGAAGUAUAUACAUUUGAAAAUGGGACUCAGUUUCACUGCUUGGGUCAUCCUGUGUUAGAGUAAUGCUAGCCCCUCCCACGUUUGCAUGGUCAGGGGGCUAUCUACAAAGACUGGGGGUUUUAAAAAAUGCCAUUUGGUUUGGCUUUAAUGUUAAUGUCCUACUGAAUGUUGUAAUUGUGCAGUCUAAAUGUGACCAGUGUUCUGUAUGUCUUGUAUGUUAUUAGACAGUCUAGUUGUGCUCUGUGUUGUAAGUGAUUUUUGUGAAAUUGUUUGUAAUUUGUCUGUUUCGGUAACUUAAGAGCUCUGUUAAAUUUAAGAACAAUGAUCAAAUUUGGGAAUUGGUUAUUUCAAUACUGAACUCCAGCUGGUGAAAACAUUUGAUUAGGAAUUUAAAGAUGAUUCUAAAUUUGGGAAAUGAAUUGGUUAUCCUUAAGUAUAAGAUCUUAAAGGAACAAUAGCUUGUUAAAGAAGUUCUGUUAACUUGCCAGAAAGAGGUCAUGUGCCUCUAAUUUUACCUAAAGUAUGUAACAAGGACUUUUCUGAAAACUUCAUCCCUGGCCAAGCUGGGCUUAGGAGAAGUCCAUUGGGAAUAAUGGCCACAUGGGGCCAGAAGGAGAGAAAGAAACUAUGUUGUUUUAUUAUUUGAAAUGAUUUAGAAAUGGAUUAUACGCUUUAAAUCCAGCUGUGCUGGACAUGUAGGUUUUAUGGGAUUCCACCACCCACCCACUGAUUUCUGCUACUUUAAAUGUUGGGUGGGGUAGGGAUCUUUUGUAAAGAUUUAAACUCGCCUCCUCCCCGCCCUGCUAUAGGAGCCAUUUAGUUAGCCUGGAGUGAAGUUAAAUUCGACUUUGCUCCCCACCCUUCCAAUCUGGUCAUCGGUAAUCACUAUAUCCUAAAUACUUGAGCAAAUAAGUAUUCGGUCUUGUCAUCUAUUGGUUACUAGAUAUUGUGCCUGGAUAUCCAAGUAUUUUUUUAAGGUUUUUAAUUAAUGAGAGGCCACAUCUUAUAGCAGUCCUAUCUCAGACUGUUCUAACUUUUCUUUGUUAGAUUUGUUUUUAUUUCUAGAUUUGGUCAAAUUGCAGAUAUAUUGAUUUGCUUCUGGGACCUAGAUCAAACCUUUGUUUGUCAGCUCGCUACACUACAGACCCAUCCCCCUCACAGACUGAGCAUCGUCCCUGUUCAGCUUAAAGAAGCAAAUGACAGCCAUCGCCCACUUUUCCUGAUGUAAUUCGGACUGAUGGGGGGAGUGGGAAAGUGGUUGACUUGUUAAAAUUUUCACUGUAUUACUGUGCUGUGUUUAAGACUUGGAAUGGAAAUUGUUAAACUUGUGUAACUAUUGCUGUUAUGUUUGAGGGACUUUUAGUCUGUUAUGUAUAUGCAUAUGUGUAUGAUUUAUAUGUGGGAUGGUCAUUUGAUAAUUCCUUUCCAAAAGAAAAAAAAGGGAGGAGAAGAAAUAGGAAAUUGGGAAAACUGGUAUCUUGCUAGUUCAGAUUUAAUUGGAAGUCCUUUACUCCUUGCUUAAAUUUACUAGACUACGAUUUGCUGGUUGUGCUUUAACUUGGAAAUCCCUUAUUCUGUUGGAAUUGCCCUGGCAGACUCAGUUUUAGGGGAUUAUUUUUUAGAAACAACCAGAAAUUGGAUACCUGUCUUGGAACUGGCAGUCUCUCUGAGCUGUCCACUCCUGUUACCUCAGAUCCUUAAUUAGUAUUUCAGCGUACUUAAAAGGACUUUGUUGAUAUUGAGGCCUCUAAAAGCUUGGGGUUUGCCUGCCUUGGUCUAACUGUGCAUAAUCUGCAUUCUAGUGGCAGCCCUGUUUGUUCCUCUGGGUGGGACAGGUGGGGCUACUCCAAGCCUCACCCUUCUCUCCUGGAGCCGGCUGCCCCUCUGAAUGGGCAACACAACUGCCUUGAGCCUGCUGCUCUCCAUAAGCAGAGGCCGAGUCAUGCACAAAUGACCACAGCUGUCCAUAUGCUCCCCAACUGCAGAGGAUCUGACAAUUGAUUGUCAGAAAUAAUUGAAAUAAGGAACUUUGUGUAUUGCUGAUUAAUUCUGGGGUUAUCAGGGAGAGACUUGACCUUGCCAUAAGUCCUUGCAUUGGUCUAGCUUUAUUUUGAUAGUGCUAAGACCUUAGAGGAAGGUAAUUCAAAGAUUAGAAUAGUUCCAAGAGAAAAAGGAGGGACUGUACUGCCAAAGUUCACUUUUAAUGGGUUGACCACUUCCUCCAAUUGUCCUAUUUCAUAAUUCUGCCUUAAGGUUAUGACCGUCCCCACUUAAUGGUUGAGAUAAAGCUGUCAUAGACAUUCCUUAAUGUCAUUAGAAUAUCAGUAACCUCCUUCUAUUAGGUUAUCCCCACCUAGGUCCUUCCAUUGUUGUUAUUCCAUAAAAGGCUCCCUGCCCAGAGACUCGGGGCUAGACUCUUUGAGAUGAUAGUCUCGUCUAGCCCUGGGAUCAACAUGGAUGCAUUGGUCCCAGUAUUUCUCUCCAUUUAAUAAACUAUUGAAUUGGUCUCUAAUCUCUGUCUUGCUCAGUUUCUUUGGCAUUACAAGCUCAGCCAGUCUUUUGGGUUUAUCUGCUUCUGGGGAAAGAUGAAAAAAAAUGCCACUUCGUUGACUUCCUACCACCAGUCCCCUUAUCUGAACUGUGUGGGGUUCUGUGAGAGAAAACUCUGUGGGAGUCCAGUGAGGACUGGACUAUAAGGCUAAGCCCUGGUG
rnacentral:lncRNA from 1 species